UGUUAAAUGAUGUAAAUUUAUAAUCUUGACGAACAGUGGAAGUAAAAAAGCUGAUUUAAUGAGACUGAUAC